rnacentral:lncRNA from 10 species
GAAGAAUCCAAAUAUAUUGUAAAAAGACACUUUAUUCAAAUAAGUACAUAAUCUCACAGCUGAAUACUUUCCAUGAAUAUUCUGACACAUUUAUUUAAAUUUUUGAAAUCUUACUUUAUGCAUGUUAUAAUGGAAAAUAGAGGAUGAAUCUCUUUAUAAUUUUAUCUCAUUUAUGUUAAAUACAAAGAUAUUCUAGAUCAGAACUAACAAGAUGAAAGUAAUUUAUUAAAAGUAUGAAAUUUCAUUAAAGUAGUAUUUAAUUUUUUUAUGUUGGCAUGAUUGGUCUAUUACCAACAACCUUCAAGGAGCUAACUCUUUUAUAAUCUUUAUUCCUGGUGCUUGAUUUUCCUCUUUAUAUCAAUCCACUAUGUGUUCCACAAUUCUAAUCUCAGAUUUAAAAAAUAAAUGGUCAAAGGGAGUGGCAAAAUAUUUGAAUUGCUUUCAGAGGUUUGAUGGUAGGACCCAGAAGACAUAGAGAUUGCCAGAAUUAACAUAACAGAGGAUUCAAUGUGCUCCUGUGAGAAGCAUUGAUUGGGGUGGGAAUACAAGUCUGUUUCAAGCUUUCUGUACUGGUAGUAACUACUCACAGCUUCUACUCUUGCUUCUUAACCAUAGCUUUCCUUUUUUUUUCUUUCCAGGGCUAUAAGAUUUUUAUUUGAUUUCAAUAAUCUUCCACCUGUAUCUCCUUUUUACUUAUAAUGAAAAAUUUCAGUUCUGUAAGACACCAAUAUAAUGACUUACUUGCUUUAUCUCAUAAUAUAUAAACAGUUGCAAAAUAUGAAUAACAGCACUACAACUAGCAAUAUGAUGAUUGCUUAACAGCUAAAGAUUAUUUUUAGGGUUUUUUUUUGCCGUGAUUAUUUCUUAAGGUAUAAAAAGUCAAAUUACUACACAGCUUUCCUUUAUAAUGGGCAACCAAGUACCAUAGGUUGAAGGGCUACUCUUCAGCAGUUAUAGCCUCACUUGAAAACUCGGCUGACCUCUGCUAAGAGCUUCCACUUAGCGGUUGGUAGUUGUGUUCAGACUCUGCCUCUGCUACUUACUAGCUCUAUACCUUUGUGAAAGCCAUUUAAUGUCUCUGCCUCAGUUUUCAAAUUGGAAAGAAGAGAGGGAGGAAGAAAAACAGAAGGAAAAACCCUAUUUUACAUGGUUGUUCUCAGACUAAGAAAAAAUAUAUAAAGCAUUUACCUCAAUGCCUAGAGCUUAAAAAUUAUUAAGCAAAUGGUAACUAUAUUAUUUAGCUCAUGAGCCAAAUUCUUUCCAGAUAAAAUUUUUAGAAAUCAAUAGAAAUAAAACUUGCCACGUAAAAACAAUUUUCCACCUUCAACAGAAAUAUAUGGGCAGGUAAAUUCUGUCUUAUGCAAACUUUUGUGGUUCUUUAAAAUUAACCGUAGGAGGAAAAAGAUUUACAAUGUAUUUUGGGGGGGAGGGGCGGGAAUGGCAGUGAGGGAGACAAGAAAUAUGUAGGGAAAAUCAUCUUAGAAAAAAUAAAGCUUCUUAAAAUUGAUAUAAGCAGAGGGUGGAAACUGAGGCCGGGAGAUUAUUACUCGUCCACGCUUACAGGGUGGGGUGGGGCAGCGUUCUCCAGGGUUUCGCCUUUGCCGAAGACCCGCUCCACCUUCUCUCGACCCAGAUGCCCUUGUCGGGAAGAGUAUGCUGUCCUCAGUGCCUGGGACAAGCUCACAAGCCCUCGUCUGUUCCAGGAAUUCCAGUCCAAGCUCAGUCCUCUCUCCAUCCCGGGGCAUCCUAAGCGUGUCUUUGAACCGCACUGUGGAGUUUCACUCCGAAAGUCCUUCUUACAGAGCAACUCCAAGGAUGGGCUGAAAAGCACAUAGAGAAAAUGGAACAGUGCGAAGUUGGAAGGUCCGUGCGGGUGGCAGCGCCAGUGUGGGGAUGAGAUGCUCACAGGACGGUUUUUAGGCGGCUCACAAGGGUUUUUUCUUUCUUUUCUUUCUUUCUUUUUUUUUUUUCUUUUUUCUUUUUCUUUCUUUUUUUUUUUUUUUUUUGAGACGGAGUCUCGCUCUGUAGCUCAGGCUGGAGUGCAGUGGCGCGAUCUCCGCUCACUGCAACCUUUGCUUCCCGGGUCCCGGUUCAAGCGAUUCUCCUGCCUCAGCCUCCCGAGUAGCUGAGAUUACAGGCGCGCGCCACCAUGCCCAGCUAAUUUGUGUAUUUUUAGUAGAGACGGGGUUUCACCAUGUUGGCAAGGCUUGAACUCCUGACCUCGUGAUCCGCCCGCCUUGGCCUUCCAAAGUGCUGGGAUUACAUGCGUGAGCCACCGCGCCCGGCCUCACAAAAGUGUUUUUGAAGGCUCCAUUCCCGAAGACUGAGUGAGGUAUUCGAUAUCCUCCUCCCUCAUUGAAAAGUUGUGUAACAGGAAUCUAAGUUCAUGCCGUUUGAUUCCCAAGACUUCUCCAAGCCGCACUGUAGAGCAGGAAAAUCGACUAAUAUUACUGCUCAGAUUAUCAUCAUAGUGGCCAUUUAAGAUGGAAUGCGACAUCAAGGGUAAACUAGGCAUUGAAAAAUUCACUUUCAGACCUCCCUUCCGUGCCUCACUCUCCGGCCAGUCCUUUUCCCCAUUCGCCAUUCAGGCACUAAAAUUUUGCAGUUUGAGAAAAAGAAAAGUGAGGAAAACACAAGAGAAAAAACGCGAGGCUUUUCGGGUUCUUUUUUAUAUAUAGAAUAGCUUAUAUAGUCCAAUUUUAUUUUCUAAAUCGCCCCACACAUAAAACGUAUAACUCUAGCCAAGAUGAAGGAAAAAAGAAAUGUAAUAGUUGGGAGCAGAGAGAAAUAGCCAGCACCACCCCCCAGCGCAGAGCCGGGGCGCGGGGCCUCGGGUCGCCCCCUCCGGCUCCUCUGACCCGAGACUCGCCAGGUCUUGGACAUCCUCAGCCUGCGACACCGUUCCCAGGACGGCUCAUCACCUAUUAUCUCGGACUCCAGAUUUUGUGUGUACGUGUGAAAAUUUUCCACAAGAAAGUGGGAAAGAUUGUCGGUCCUGUUCCCAGCGGGUGGGGGCUGGUGGGGGGUUCUUGUCUGUCUUUGAGUCUUUCCAUCCGCACCAUCAGCUGAGGGACAACAGGGUAGGGGUGGGAGGGGGAGUGUAGGGGAGACGACUCGGGGGCCAUGUUCUAAGAGACUCUGGGAGGUAAAGUGUUUUAGUCCAGUCUUUUCUAAAUCUUACUGGGGGAAAACCCUGAACAGGAACCAUUAGAGAAGAAGGCGACCCCUCUAAUAACCCCUAUAAUAACAGGGCCCGGCUGCUGGGCAUUGUCAACAGGGAAAUAACUCGGUCGCUGCUUUUCUGGCGAAGACGUGCCAUAGCCUGGGAUAGUAGCCUGGGGUCACAGGGCCACACCGAAAGCCCUCAUCUCUCUCUACCUUCUCUCUGCAGAAAAAGCGUGAGGCUGCUCCUCAUUGACACCCACUUAGAAGUUGGUUGAUGAAGACUGCAGUGAGCACUCUCAGCAAGGCUUACAGAGAAAAGAAGAGCGUUCACUUUGUUUCUGCUGGCAGGGUGAAAAGGGGCAGCUACGUGGCCAAAGGUUACACGUUUUCCCUCACUGCGAACUGUCAGCCUUAUUCCGAGUAUAGCCACCACUGACUUCUGACCCUGGACGGUGUCAUUCACCGGGAACUCUUAACGUCUCCGGCCGAGAAAGGAGGGGACGGUAGCUAACUCUUUCGGCGGAGCUGAACCCCUACCCCCUCCCUCCUGUGACCCGAGCCUACUGCGAGACCUGGACACCGCCAAGUGGGGCAACGUUUCGCUCUUACAGCAGCUUCCCGACCUCUGCUAACUCCCAGGCCAUUUCAGAAGGCGCAAAGGGGAGAAGGAAAAGUUCAGAGAGCAAACGUUGCUCUCUAGCCUCCCCCAACCUCCAGUUCCUCUCUUCCUUCCCCUGCUGUCCAAACUUCAUACUGUCCACCAGGGGAGACUGCCCCCCGACUCGGCUGUCCCUCACUAACGCGGUGGUCCCCGACCUAGGGUCGCAGAUGCACUUCCCGAGGCACAUGCGGGCGCAACAAGGUAACUGCGCUCCAGGCGUGGAACCCCAGUCCUGAGCGAUGUGAAACCAACCCCAAGCGGGCUGUGCUCACAGUUUGGGAAAAGGUAAUGUCUCUGAUCCCCCCAUAUCCACCCCUCCCCCAACCCUUGAGGACAGAUUCGGGUACCGCAAAACCGCCAGGCACAGAAGGGAGGAGAGCUGGGACGGACAGGCUACUCCCGGGGAGGGGAUCACCUCCACGUUCCCGCUCCAAGCGGCUGGUAGCUGCUAGUAAUUCAGACUUCUGGCCUCGGAGGAAGAGUGC